GAUCCUGGCUCAGAUUGAACGCUGGCGGCAGGCUUACACAUGCAAGUCGAGCGGUAACAUUUCUAGCUUGCUAGAAGAUGACGAGCGGCGGACGGGUGAGUAAUACUUGGGGAUCUGCCUGAUGGCGGGGGACAACCACUGGAAACGGUGGCUAAUACCGCAUAAUGCCUACGGGCCAAAGUGUGGGGCCUUCGGGCCACAUGCCAUCAGAUGAACCCAAGCGAGAUUAGCUAGUUGGUGAGGUAACGGCUCACCAAGGCGACGAUCUCUAGCUGUUCUGAGAGGAUGAUCAGCCACACUGGGACUGAGACACGGCCCAGACUCCUACGGGAGGCAGCAGUGGGGAAUAUUGGACAAUGGGCGCAAGCCUGAUCCAGCCAUGCCGCGUGUGUGAAGAAGGCCUUCGGGUUGUAAAGCACUUUCAGUGGUGAGGAAGGCGUUGUAGUUAAUAGCUGCAACGAUUGACGUUAGCCACAGAAGAAGCACCGGCUAACUCCGUGCCAGCAGCCGCGGUAAUACGGAGGGUGCGAGCGUUAAUCGGAAUUACUGGGCGUAAAGCGCACGUAGGCGGCUUGUUAAGCAAGAUGUGAAAGCCCAGGGCUCAACCUUGGAAUUGCAUUUUGAACUGGCAAGCUAGAGUUUUGAAGAAGGUGGUAGAAUUUCCAGUGUAGCGGUGAGAUGCGUAAAUUUUGGAAGGAAUACCAGUGGCG
rnacentral:rRNA from 1 species